rnacentral:rRNA from 1 species
AGUUUGAUCCUGGCUCAAGAUGAACGCUGGCGGCGUGCCUAACACAUGCAAGUCGAACGGAAACACCCCGUCGAUGCGAUUUCGGUCAAGUCAAGGGAUGUUUUAGUGGCGGACGGGUGAGUAACGCGUGGGCAACCUGCCUUACACCGGGGGAUAACACUUAGAAAUAGGUGCUAAUACCGCAUAACAGGAGAACAUGCAUGUGUUUUCCUUGAAAACCACGGUGGUGUAAGAUGGACCCGCGUCUGAUUAGCUUGUUGGCAGGGUAACGGCCUACCAAGGCGACGAUCAGUAGCCGGCCUGAGAGGGUGGACGGCCACAUUGGGACUGAGACACGGCCCAGACUCCUACGGGAGGCAGCAGUGGGGAAUAUUGCACAAUGGGGGAAACCCUGAUGCAGCGACGCCGCGUGAGUGAAGAAGUAUUUCGGUAUGUAAAGCUCUGUCAGCAGGGAAGAAAAUGACGGUACCUGACCAAGAAGCCCCGGCUAACUACGUGCCAGCAGCCGCGGUAAUACGUAGGGGGCAAGCGUUAUCCGGAUUUACUGGGUGUAAAGGGAGCGCAGACGGCAGUGCAAGUCCGGAGUGAAAGCCCGGGGCCCAACCCCGGGACUGCUCUGGAUACUGUACGGCUGGAGUGCCGGAAAGGUAAACGGAAUUCCAAGUGUAGCGGUGGAAUGCGUAGAUAUUAGGAGGACACC